GACGAACGCUGGCGGCGUGCUUAACACAUGCAAGUCGAACGGAAAGGCCUGCUUUCCCUUGUGGGUUGCGGGUACUCGAGUGGCGAACGGGUGAGUAACACGUGAGUGAUCUGCCCCCAACUUGGGUAUAAGCCUGGGAAACUGGGUCUAAUUCCCGAUAGGACUGCAGGGUGGUGCCUGUGGUGGAAAACGAUUUUCUAGUGGUUGGGGAUGAGCUCGCGGCCUAUCAGCUUGUUGGUGGGGUAAUGGCCUACCAAGGCGGUGACGGGUAGCCGGCCUGAGAGGGUGGACGGCCACAUUGGGACUGAGAUACGGCCCAGACUCCUACGGGAGGCAGCAGUGGGGAAUAUUGCACAAUGGGCGGAAGCCUGAUGCAGCGACGCCGCGUGGGGGAUGACGGCCUUCGGGUUGUAAACUCCUUUCGACCGCGAGGAAGCCACCUGGCUGGAAGGGUGGUGACGGUAGUGGUAGAAGAAGCACCGGCUAACUACGUG
rnacentral:rRNA from 1 species